CUCCAUGCCCAUCAUACCAAGCACAAACCCCAGCACGCCGAGGGAAAGAGCUGCCAUCAGCAGGCCUCGUACUAUCUGGAUGUGACCUGGAGUCACACAGUUGGACCAGUACCAUCUCACCUUGACGACGGCGGAGCCCCCCAUGCCCCCAAUGGUGCUGAUCUUCCAGCCCUCCAUGGCCAUGGUGCAGGCAACAAAGAUCCAGCCAACAACGAUCAUCAGGAAACCCCAGAUCUGGACCACACGGAUCUGCAUCUCCCGGCUUCUUUAAUGGCUGGAGGGAAACGGCUCUCUGCCUCUUUUUGUUGCUGCAAUGACCACUUUCCCAUCGGAGAUCAAUGAAUAGGUCAGUGGCUUCUAACGUGUUUUGCUACCCCUUAAUACAAAGCAGUAUCUUUUUUUGCAAUAUCUCAUGGUUUAUUUGAAUACUAUAUGGAUGCAAAGCUAUACAAUGCACAGAUUAGGCCAGCACUUGUAAAGAAACCACAUUUUCUUCUUUUAUUUUUUUAUUUUUUUCUAUUAAAUUAUCGUUC